rnacentral:lncRNA from 1 species
GGAAAACAGGGAGGAAGUGAGCGGUUUGAUCAGCCUGCUAUCACGGUGUUCUGGCUCUCUUAUUUAGCCAGGCGCUUAAGGGACAGAUACAUCACAUCCUAAGUUUGGGAAAGGCCUUUGACCCAUGUCAUCUGAGCGUCUCCUCCAGUAGCUCUGAAAGCUGUGGACACCAAUGGCCAGGAUUCCUUCUCCCCUGGUUUUUGAGGAUCCCUGGGUCUUCUGAGACUGGCCAGGAGAGGGAUGGUGGGGCCAGUGGUUGUGUGAAAGCAGGAGGGGCAGCCCUCCUGGACAAGUGUGAUCCCCCUAUAAACGGCUCUCAGGAGGUUAGUGAGUAGGAGAUUCUGCCUUGUUCUGAUGAGCCUGUGCAGGGGCUCCAGGGGAGCAUGCUGUCCAGGGGGCACAGAAGGGUGGUGAGUGUGAUCAAAUCUAGUCUCACUCCCACUUUUUAGUCUCACUCCUACUUUUGUCCACCACCCCUGCCUCCUGGAUCUUCUCCCACUUUUUUUUUCAGCUUUAGGACCUGGGGAGAUCCUGUGAGUCAAGGCAGACACCCAAUCCUGCCCCCACACUCGGGGUCCUCCAAGAGGUUGGGGGGCAGAGUCCCAGAGCAGCCCUUUACCCCAGGUCCAGGCCCUGGAAUCCUGAGACUCGCGUUUCCUUGGCCAGUGGUAACACAGGACGUGUGUGCGCAUGUGCAAGUGUGGAUGUAUGUGUGUGCGUGUGUUUUGCUCAUUUCUUUAGGGAACUUGGGAGUCGGGGUUGGAGGUGCUGGGCAAUGGAACUUCAAAUUCAAUGUCGCCCAGCAGUGAGGGGAGUCGGGAGGUGAGGCCUGUAGGCCAACCAAUUGGUGGAGUCUCAGCGAUAGCCCAGGUGAGAAGUGGUUCACCCAGAGGGGCAGGGUGGGGGCCUCGGGCAGAUCUGUCCCUCUUGGCACCUCUGUCCUCAAAUGUCCAAAAUGUUGGAGGACCUCUGUUCAUAUCCCACGCCUGGGCUCUUGCCAGCAGUGGAGUUACUGUAGAGGGAUGUCCCAAGCUUGUUUUCCAAUCAGUGUUAAGCUGUUUGAAACUCUCCUGUGUCUGUGUUUUGUUUGUGCGUGUGUGUGAGAGCACAUCAGUGUGUGCAGGCUGUGUUUCCCCAUUUCUCUCCUCCCUUCAGACCCAUCAUUGAGAACAAAUGUAAGAAAUCCCUUCCCACCACCCUCCCUGCCUCCCAGGCCCUCUGCGGGGGAAACAAGAUCACCCAGCAUCCUUCCCCACCCCAGCUGUGUAUUUAUAUAGAUGGAAAUAUACUUUAUAUUUUGUAUCAUCGUGCCUAUAGCCGCUGCCACCGUGUAUAAAUCCUGGUGUAUGCUCCUUAUCCUGGACAUGAAUGUAUUGUACACUGACGCGUCCCCACUCCUGUACAGCUGCUUUGUUUCUUUGCAAUGCAUUGUAUGGCUUUAUAAAUGAUAAAGUUAAAGAAAACUC